UGGCAUCUAAAAAAAAUUCCAACACUAUGCAAGACGGGGAAAAAAAAUGGCAGAGUUCCCAGACCCUCAGUUUUGACAGCUUAAGCAAAUCCCAAGACAUGUUCACAGACCCAAAACAUAAAACAUUUACAGGAAAGAGCUUCGGUGGUCAUACAACAAAUUAUUGAAUUGGCCUUAAUGCUAAUACAUGGUGUACAAUGGCCAAAAGGCAAAAAUCACGUUACAUGAUACUUACUACAACCCUUAGGAUGCUCUGAGGUGUUGAGUUCAGCGAUCUACAUGCACCAUCAAAUUGUUACCCUUCACUCUGACCAAUUAUAAGGAGCACGUGCAACUAUUAAAUAAUCUCCACGAACAUCAUUAGCAAUCCGCAAAUCAUCAUCUAGGUAAACAGAUUUGAACAGUGUAUCCAAUCAUGGAUGAUAAUUCAGAAAAGCACCAUGUUUGCUCUUCAUUCUUUCCAAGCAUAUGGCACACGGUCAACAACUAAAUAAUCUCCCCUGAUAUCCUUCACUACACGUAUAUCAUCAUCAAGGUACACAGACUUAAACCUAUAGAGUAUAGAAAAUCAUGGCAGAAGUAAAUAAACCAUCCCUUCCCUAUUGCCUUCUAUCAAAGUGCAAAAUGCAAACCACGUUAGAGAUAUAAAGAAAUCAGUGGAAACUGGGGCAGUAAAUUGUCAUAAGGAAUGCAUAUCACCAACAUAAGGCAAUAGGCAGCACAAUUUUGAAACGAAACUUAUCAGUCAAAGGCUUUUCAAAAUAAAAAUUACAUGAAGAUUACAAGUUGCUAUACAAGUGCAUUAAAAUUAUAUUAAAACUAAUCCUUCUUUAGAAGAAGAGAGGUCAAGUUUAACCUCUUUGUCCCUCAAGAAGCCCUUCAAAUUACAUUUUUAAUACACAUUGAAUCAAGCAAGCAUAACAUGGCAGAAGACUAGCCGAAAUGGUUAGCCAUGCGCAAUGUAGACCUUAUAAAAUCAGUUAAAGGUAAAAGAGAUGGCUUCAUUAGAUGGCAUAUAAGUAUAAAGGGAAACCAACUUGCGGCACUUAGGAGAACCAUGAGAACAUAUUUUUCACAGAUAAAAAUUUCUAGCCCAAUAUCCUGGAGCUAGAAAUGAAUAAGAUGCUAUUACAAAACCUAUUCUUUAACACUCAGAAACUCAACCUAUUCAAAACCACAAAUUUCAUCAUUUUAAGAGUUUAGUAAGACAGACCUCGUUGCCUUUAAUUGCUAACUUGCUAAUUUAUGAUCAUUGCUUAUUUAGUUCUUCCACAUAUAAACGACAAUUACAAAAUAAAGUCACCUACCAACCCUGUCCAAACGGAGGCAAAGGAAUUUCCCAACUUUUCCCUCUCAGAACAGCACUCGUAAAUCUGAAAUUCACUCUUUGAGAUGAAGCAAUUUCAAUAUUUGACCUGACGAAGAAAACCCCAAAGGGCGGGAAAGUGAUCACGUUGUUGAGAGUCCUUUUCUCAACAUCUAUCACCUGCAAAACGUCGCCCGCUUUGGUACCAAAUAACGGCGCCUUCUCUAUGAUGAAGAGCUGCUCUUUCUCUGUCGUCCAGAGCAAACGCCACGUGGCGGAUAGUGAAUUACCUGUGGUGACCGUACCUUUGCCCUUUUCAGCCAUGGCAUCGAUGGCUUGGAUAAUUGAGGCUCGCUUUUCAGGGUCAUUCUGGGUUUUGAGGCCUCGGUCUUGAUCGGAGAUGAGGCUGAGGAGAUGUUCUUUAGCUGAUUGGGAUUGGGUUGUGGCGGACGAGCAGGUGACUUUAGGACUGUGGAAGGAGGUGGGUUUGGGGGAAUUCUUCGGUUUCAAGUGAAUUGGUAGAAGAAAGCACGUCGCCAUGGGCUUGUGGGUAACGGCAGAAGGGAUAAUAAUAUGGCGGUUG
rnacentral:misc_RNA from 1 species